rnacentral:rRNA from 1 species
AGUGAACGCUGGCGGUAGGCCUAACACAUGCAAGUCGAACGGCAGCACAGUAAGAGCUUGCUCUUACGGGUGGCGAGUGGCGGACGGGUGAGGUAUACAUCGGAAUCUACUUUUUCGUGGGGGAUAACGUAGGGACACUUACGCUAAUACCGCAUACGACCUACGGGUGAAAGCAGGGGAUCUUCGGACCUUGCGCGAUUGAAUGAGCCGAUGUCGGAUUAGCUAGUUGGCGGGGUAAAGGCCCACCAAGGCGACGAUCCGUAGCUGGUCUGAGAGGAUGAUCAGCCACACUGGAACUGAGACACGGUCCAGACUCCUACGGGAGGCAGCAGUGGGGAAUAUUGGACAAUGGGCGCAAGCCUGAUCCAGCCAUACCGCGUGGGUGAAGAAGGCCUUCGGGUUGUAAAGCCCUUUUGUUGGGAAAGAAAAGCAGCAGGUUAAUACCCCGCUGUUCUGACGGUACCCAAAGAAUAAGCACCGGCUAACUUCGUG